GUCCCUGUAGCGCAAUGGAUAGCGCGUUGGACUUUUAAUCCAAGCUGUCGUGGUUUCCAAUCCCACUUGAGAUG